AAAAGGUGUCUCAAAGAAUUCAAUAGAAAGCUGGAUUUGGUUUACCCCCUUAUUGUCCCUUCUCCCCAGUACUCAAGUCUCCAUAUACAGGUGGAAUUGCAUGGCCAGAUGACUUGGCUGCUUUGGUCGGGCCUUAAAACUAUUGUUUAAUUCAGAGGUGUGUUGAUUAUUUUGUUCUUCUCUAGGACAGGGUGGAGUGCUGAGAUCGGUUUGUUUUGUGAAUUUGAAGAUAUAGUUUCAUAAUCAUAUUUGUCAAAUUUCAUAUUGGAUCUGGUAUUUAGUA